AACAACAGUCUCAACUCAAGGGUUAGGGUUCUGUAGUACAAAUUACGUACAAAUUCCGAACUUGCCCCACUCUUUCCUUCCCUCCCUAUCGCUAAAGUACAAGGUGAAGUUGUUGCUUCUUCUUCUUCUUCUUAUUCUCCAUUCUCUUAUUCACCAUAGCUACAAAGGUCAAGGUCGAAUCAGUGAAUUGGUAUAUUAUCACACAACCUCACUCCAAAAUGGUUGCUUCCCACCCUCAACAAGAUGAGGUAUUGCUGAAGGCUAGGCAAAGGUAUUGCUUACUAAUUUUCUAAGUUUUUUACAUUACAUGUUUAUAUCUUAUGAUGGGUUUGUGGAGAAGGAGGCAGAUGAGGAUGAUAAGGAGGAUGAUGAUGAGGAGGUUAAUGAUGAGGUGGAGGAAAAUGAGAAGGAUGAUGAGCAUGAUAAGGAGGAUGAGCUUAGUUAAUUAAAUAUUAGACUAAAUAAAUUAGUUAAUUAACAAUUUAGGAUGCAUUUCCCUUUUUAAUGUUACAUGAACAUAAGUGAUGAGGAGGAUGAUGAGGAGGUGGAGGAUGAGAAGGAUGACGAUGGGGAAAGUGAUGAGGAUGAUGAGGACGAGGAUGAUGAUGAUGAUGAUGAUGAGCUUAGUUAAUUAAAUAUUAGACUAAAUAUAUUAGUUAAUUAACAAUUCAGGAUGCAUUUCCCUUUUCUAAUGUUAAAUGAAUAUAAGUGAUGAGGAGGUGGAGAAGGAGGAUGACGAUAGGGAAGGUGAUAAGGAUGAUAAGGAUGAGGAUGAGGAUAAUGAGGAGAAUGAGAAUGAUGAGUAGAAGUAGGAAGGUGAAAAGGAUGAGAGAGAAAGAGAAAACAUGGGGAUUUAUGCGAUUGGUGGUCCAAAUGGUUAUCUAGCCUAGAGGCAAGAGUUUGAGUUUGGUUUGGGAUCUUGCAUGUUUAUGGGUACCCUGUGUAAGCUUAAUCUUGUUUGUGCAGGUCAAGCAAGAUCCACAAUAUGUUGAGGUCCUUGGUCUUCAUCAUUUGGAAGAUGCAUAGUUGAUGUUGUUGUUGAAAUGAUCAAUAGGGGUGCUUAUUUUGAGUUGUUGGUUCAAACCACAAGGACAUGGAGAAUUCCCUUCUCACUCUCUUGUGUCACAUGUCCGCCACUUUGUGCACCCUACGGAGAUAAAGCACUUUUACUAAUGAAGCAGAACAUAACACAAAAAGAUGUUAAGGUUAAAUCCUAUAUAUUUAAUUAGCAAACAUCUAUAAGUUUUCACUUGGAAUUGUUCACGCUUUGAUAUAUAAAAUUUGUGUCUUUAAUACAGAUUGAAUUGGAAAGUCAUGAAAACGUUGGAGGUUUUAUGGGAUCUUUAUAGGAGUCAGAUAAAAAUAUAAAGGUUGUCCUCCUUAAAAACGGUCUUGCAAAACUUUGAAAUACCUUUGUCUUUACUAGGGUUGCAACUUACAACGACCUUGUACGAGCUCAAGAAACUGCAAAAACAAAAAAGCUGAAUAUAUGUGAAGUUGCAGGCAUACCUACACUAUUUAAACAUGUACUCCCUUUGAACCAAUUUUGCUAAUAAUAUGCAUUUUGCCAUUGUAGAUUUGGAAUACUCAUGUUGAACGACCAAUCGGCAACACCAAACAGAAAAAAGAGCCAAGGGUCUUUUGCAUUAACUAAUUGCAUGAAUUAAUACCCUUCUAAUGUUGUAAAAUAUCGGAUGAUAUAUGUCGUGUUCUUUAUUUUUCAGUUAUUAGUCAUAGAAGUUUUGGACCAUGGUAGAUUUUAUGUCAAGAACGUCGGGGAUUAGACUGGACUUGUUCAAUUAUGUAGCUUGGCAUAUAUUACGGUCCCUAGUUUGAUGGAAGCGAACAAGUAUUUGAGUGAGCAAAUACUAAAGAAGGAAUUUUCUGCCACAAUUGUGCCACUGGACUCUGAGGGCGAGAUGAUUAAUUGUGAUGAACUUGGAGGGUUAAUAUUUCUUGUAACAGAAAAUUCUUAAACGAGUAUCAACGCUACCAUGGUUCAGGUUUGAUUCAUAACCGUCUUCUUUAGUCCUGGUAUUUUGAAAACUUAUGUCUCUUUAUUAAAUCAUUAAGUGCCUUGACCUUAUUGACAUUGAAAGUUAGUAUUGGUGAAACAUCACCAUUAUUGUAUUUCAGUUGUUUAGUUGAGGAGUCUAGUGUGGUAUUAGCGUAACUUGGGUACUGUUGCGAGCUCAGGGACUACUUAGUAUCCAUGUAUAUCGGAUACCUCGUAGACGACUUUCGCGUAUUAAUUUGGCUCUUUAGUUUGGUCUAGCUUGCAAAUCUUCUGUGUUAAAAGUAGUUUCGUGCAACAUGUCUGUGAAUAACUUCCCUUGCCAUUUUUUAAUGUGUGAAAUUUUCAGGAAGGCUUUGGUGAAGUAUGGGAAAAGCAGAUAGAUGACAGUGAACAAAAGAAGAAAGCACUUGGGGAGUUACAGAAGUUGCAAGAAGAAGCACGAGAAAAAUGAAGGGGAUUUAGCACUAACUAUUAAGUUUAAGGGUGUAAGAUAUAAUUUUGUGU
rnacentral:lncRNA from 1 species